rnacentral:rRNA from 1 species
UACGUAGGCGGAAAAUUAAGUCAGUAGUGAAAUCCUGCAGCUUAACUGUAGAACUGUUAUUGAUACUGGUUUUCUUGAAUAUAGUUGAGGUAGGCGGAAUGUGUAAUGUAGCGGUGAAAUGCUUAGAUAUUACACAGAACACCGAUUGCGAAGGCAGCUUACUAAGCUAUGAUUGACGCUGAGGUACGAAAGCGUGGGGAGCGAACAGGAUUAGAUACACUGGUAGUCC